UCACAAAUAUGAUGUCGUUUCUCGACUCCCGUCGUUCUUUUAGCACAGUGUCCAAGUCUGUCGUAUUUGCGAUCCUGUCGUCCACACACCUCUCACCGUCUUCCUCUGGAGACCAGGACCAGCCGAACCAGAGCUCCUAGAGAGAGAGAGAGAGAGAGAGCAUUAUCGGCUCCAUUGCAGUAAGUAAGCAUGGGCGGUGACGCGACGAACUGGGACGAAGACACCUACAGGGAAGCCAUACUGAAGGAGAGGGAGAUCCACACCCGAAGCGUCUUCAGAAACCAGAGCUCCUAGAGAGAGAGAGAGAGCAUUAUCGGCUCCAUUGCAGUAAGUAAGCAUGGGCGGUGACGCGACGAACUGGGACGAAGACACCUACAGGGAAGCCAUACUGAAGGAGAGGGAGAUCCACACCCGAAGCGUCUUCAGAACUCUUUGGUCUCCUGCCCCAAACCCUAACAAUCCCGACUCCAUUGUCGUCGCCUCCAGCGACGGAUCCCUCGCUUCCUACUCCAUUUCCUCCAUCUCCAUCAUCUCCGAGCUCCCAUUGGGGUUCACCAACGCUAAAGCUCCACAGCGACUUGUUUGUGGCAGAACCUGGUUGCUUCCUUCAAGCGCAUGAUGGACCUGUUUAUGAUGCCAAAUUCUAUGGAGAUGGUGAAGAUGCGUUAUAGCUAAGGAAUUAAUUGGUGAAAUGGGUGAUAACCAUUCUCCUCCUGAGUCUCCUAAAGAAAACCCAGAUCAUGAUUCUGAUCCAAAACCGGUCUCCAAAGAGGAUAGCUCA